rnacentral:rRNA from 1 species
GACGAACGCUGGCGGCGUGCCUAAUACAUGCAAGUCGAGCGGACUGAUUAAGAGCUUGCUCUUAUGACGUUAGCGGCGGACGGGUGAGUAACACGUGGGCAACCUGCCCUGUAGAUCGGGAUAACACCGAGAAAUCGGUGCUAAUACCGGGUAAUAUCUGAGAUCACAUGAUCUUAGGUUAAAAGAUGGCUCCGGCUAUCACUACAGGAUGGGCCCGCGGCGCAUUAGCUAGUUGGUAAGGUAAUGGCUUACCAAGGCGACGAUGCGUAGCCGACCUGAGAGGGUGAUCGGCCACACUGGGACUGAGACACGGCCCAGACUCCUACGGGAGGCAGCAGUAGGGAAUAUUCCGCAAUGGACGAAAGUCUGACGGUGCAACGCCGCGUGAGUGAUGAAGGGUUUCGGCUCGUAAAGCUCUGUUGUUAGGGAAGAAACAGUACCGAACGAACUAGGUCGGUACCUUGACGGUACCUAACCAGAAAGCCACGGCUAACUACGUG